CAGAUGGGAGCUUGCUCCCUGAUGUUAGCGGCGGACGGGUGAGUAACACGUGGGUAACCUGCCUGUAAGACUGGGAUAACUCCGGGAAACCGGGGCUAAUACCGGAUGGUUGUUUGAACCGCAUGGUUCAGACAUAAAAGGUGGCUUCGGCUACCACUUACAGAUGGACCCGCGGCGCAUUAGCUAGUUGGUGAGGUAACGGCUCACCAAGGCGACGAUGCGUAGCCGACCUGAGAGGGUGAUCGGCCACACUGGGACUGAGACACGGCCCAGACUCCUACGGGAGGCAGCAGUAGGGAAUCUUCCGCAAUGGACGAAAGUCUGACGGAGCAACGCCGCGUGAGUGAUGAAGGUUUUCGGAUCGUAAAGCUCUGUUGUUAGGGAAGAACAAGUGCCGUUCAAAUAGGGCGGCACCUUGACGGUACCUAACCAGAAAGCCACGGCUAACUACGUGCCAGCAGCCGCGGUAAUACGUAGGUGGCAAGCGUUGUCCGGAAUUAUUGGGCGUAAAGGGCUCGCAGGCGGUUUCUUAAGUCUGAUGUGAAAGCCCCCGGCUCAACCGGGGAGGGUCAUUGGAAACUGGGGAACUUGAGUGCAGAAGAGGAGAGUGGAAUUCCACGUGUAGCGGUGAAAUGCGUAGAGAUGUGGAGGAACACCAGUGGCGAAGGCGACUCUCUGGUCUGUAACUGACGCUGAGGAGCGAAAGCGUGGGGAGCGAACAGGAUUAGAUACCCUGGUAGUCCACGCCGUAAACGAUGAGUGCUAAGUGUUAGGGGGUUUCCGCCCCUUAGUG
rnacentral:rRNA from 1 species